rnacentral:rRNA from 1 species
UACGUAGGUGGCAAGCGUUGUCCGGAAUUAUUGGGCGUAAAGCGCGCGCAGGCGGUUCCUUAAGUCUGAUGUGAAAGCCCACGGCUCAACCGUGGAGGGUCAUUGGAAACUGGGGGACUUGAGUACAGAAGAGGAAAGCGGAAUUCCACGUGUAGCGGUGAAAUGCGUAGAGAUGUGGAGGAACACCAGUGGCGAAGGCGGCUUUCUGGUCUGUAACUGACGCUGAGGCGCGAAAGCGUGGGGAGCAAACAGG